rnacentral:rRNA from 1 species
UGGGGAAUCUUGCGCAAUGGGCGAAAGCCUGACGCAGCGACGCCGCGUGAGUGAUGAAGGCCUUCGGGUUGUAAAGCUCUGUGGGGAGAGACGAAUAAGUAGGGGUUAAUACCCCCUGCGAUGACGGUAUCUCCUUAGCAAGCACCGGCUAACUCUGUGCCAGCAGCCGCGGUAAGACAGAGGGUGCAAACGUUGUUCGGAAUUACUGGGCGUAAAGCGUGUGUAGGCGGCUUUGCAAGUCGGAUGUGAAAGCCCCGGGCUCAACCCGGGAAGUGCACUCGAUACUGCAGAGCUUGAGUGUCGGAGAGGUUGGUGGAAUUCUCGGUGUAGAGGUGAAAUUCGUAGAUAUCGAGAGGAACACCGGCGGCGAAGGCGGCCAACUGGACGAACACUGACGCUGAGACACGAAAGCGUGGGGAGCAAAC